GGAGUCAGACUGCACCCAGAAAUCUGCUUUCUCUCCUGAGCUGUCAGAUUGAGGAGGAGGGCAGGGUGCUGGGGCUGCCUGAAGAAAUCACAGUUUGGAAGAGCUGGCAUUUUGGUUGUUGAGACUAAUGCAUUGUGACACCUCUGACAUGAAGUGUGGAUGGCUCCUCCUGCCCUCUCUCUGCUAGGUGCAAUCUUGUGAACAGAUCAAGGGAAUGCUCACCUGCUGCCCGGGCUGCACCUGCCCCAUCCCUGUGCCCGUGGUACCCAGCUGGCAAGGAGGACACGGGGCCCCCGUCACCAUGCUGCUGUCAGACCUCUCAGUGACACCUCUGAAGGGACAGUGCUGCUAUCUGUGCUCCUGUGUACCUGCUGUCCUUGACAAUUUUAGGGAAUAAUAAGAAGAGGGGGAUUGCAGGGCGGAAUGCGCGGAGCGCUGUGCCCCUGCUCCUGCUCGGGGACAGAGGGACAACAGGACCCACAGCCACACUGAGAGUAAUGAAAUCUUCUGUGACUGAGGCUGCCUGGCCCCAUAUCUGCAAUAAUCAAAUCCUGGGCUCGUUAUCAAACUACAGCUACUGAGAAUGGGAAGCCAGCUAGAGCAGCAACACUCCAGCUGUGGAACUGGGAUGCUGCAACAGAAGCCUGCAGGAGGAGGACAAACACACUGGGCUCCUGAAGCACCGUGUU